rnacentral:rRNA from 1 species
CACGUAGUUAGCCGUGACUUUCUGGCGGGGCACCAUCAGUCAGCACCCAUUUCCUGAUGCUGCCUUUUUUUCCCCGCAACAGAGCUUUACGACCCGAAGGCCUUCUUCACUCACGCGGCAUCGCUCGUUCAGGCUUGCGCCCAUUGACGAAAAUUCCCUACUGCUGCCUCCCGCAGGAGUCUGGGCCGUGUCUCAGUCCCAAUGUGGCCGUCCGCCCUCUCAGGCCGGCUAUGCAUCAUCGUCUUGGUGGGCCUUUACCCGCCAACCAACUAAUGCACCGCAGGUCCAUCCGCGCCCCAUCCCCUAAAGGACUGUUUCACAGAAAGAAGAUGCCUCCUUCCUGUACAUCGGGAUUUGUUCUCCGUUUCCAGAGCGUAUUCCCGGUGCGCGGGCAGGUUCCUACGUGUUACUCACCCGUUCGCCACUAGAGACCCGAAGGUCUCUCGUUCGACUUGCUAUGUAUUAGGCAUGCCGCCAGCCGUUCAUCCUGACGCCAGGACUACUAAAA